AGCCUCGCUCUGACUGCACCCUAAACUAUAAAGGGACCUGCGCGGAAAGCUGAGGGUUCUCUUUGCGCUGUAGGUUACUCUUUUAGGCGACCUGGUGACCAAGCAAAAUGUGGGGUUACAGAGUAAAUUUAGAUGCUCCGGUUCUGCGGAGCAGCCCUCCGCACUUGAGCUUAGGGUACCGGUGUAAACUACCUGGGAGAAGUGCGCAGCAGCAAAAGAGAUUUCAGGAUUGGAGCCUAGGCCCUGGGGAGAUUGGGACUGGGCAGCUUGGCUGAAGGCUGCGUGCGUUCUGGUUCCUCAGUCCCAGUUUGGGUGGGUUCUUACACAGCGGGGUUUGCAGAAAAAUAUGCAAGGCCUUUUGUGCUGUUUGGAAGGUACUGGUGACACCUAAGUGACAUCGGAUUAUAUGCACAUGAACCCUUUCACAGGGACCAUGGCGUCAUCAUUCUUAACAUCAUCAAAGCAGUUGCAAAAAGAUACCAAGAUGAAGGGGUGCCCAAAGCAUCCGAGAGAACUCGUCACAGAAAAUAACUUGAUUAAAACCUGACUCUUUUAAAAGGUAUGUAUGAAAUCUAGAUUGACAUUUUUGCCAGCAUACAUUUUUACUGUUGUGAGAUGAGAAUCAGCUUCCCGGAAAUGUGUUCUGAAAUAGUCCUGGCCAAACACUGCAGCUUCUCCUACUCUGGCCUUUUUAAUUUGGAGUAGCUGUAGUGAAUGCAUGGUGUAUAAGUUGAUUGUACAAACAGUUGUGAGACAUACCGGGUCUGAACAGUGAUGAACUAUAUCCCGAAGAUGAUGACCUGAAGACAGAUACAGCUUCUGAGAGAAGACCAUCGUGUUUAAGUGAAGUAGUAGUCUUGUUUGUCAUGUUUCCCAAGGGCUUUUGUUUGUUUGGGGGAUAAUCUCUCCUGCUGCGCAAACUGGCCUCGAACUCAUUAGGCAGCUGAGGAAGUCCUUGAACUGCAGACACCCCAGCCUGCCCCUCUCACGUUCCGGGGUUCCACCAUGUCUGGCUCUCUCUAGCCUUUCUUUUUAAUUCCUCUGGUCUGAUCAGCCAUAGCCACAAGACACUCCCUCUGUAGGGCACUGAGUGAAUAGCUGUUACCAAGCAAAUAUCUGUUCCAGGCCAUCUCUGUACUGACCAUAUUUGUUCAGAGGUUCAUUGAGCCACUGGUUAUUUCUGGCAUGUCUGCAUGUCUUUUUUUUUUUAAUGACUAUUUUUAAAGGCUGUGUAAGGAGGGCAAAGAGAACCUAGGCAUAGGUUUUCCAAAAACGUGACAAGGAUGGAGGGUGGUGGCGGCAGGAGAACCCUGGAGCGCUGGGUGCUUCUGGACAUCAGCUCCUGACCACCUCUCCAGCAGCACUGCAGAAGUGUACACAAGGUGGCUCCUGAAGCUGAGGGUGGGGUUCUGGGGGGGGGGGAGAGAAGGAGGGUCAGAGAUGCCAGCAGCAUAUCCUCCAGGCUAAGUAAGCCAGGGUGUUAGUUACCUGGUCUUCUGUGCUUCUCUGUGUAUGCAUGUAUAUUUGUUCGUGGAUGGAGACCUGUGUGCAUGGGGACCAGAGGACAAGUUAGGGCGACAUUCCUCAUGUGCUACCUACCGUUUGAAAAAAAAAUUGUGUAUGAGUGUCUUAGUUAGGGUUUUACUGCUGUGAACAGACACCGUGACCAAGGCAACUCUUGUAAGAACAACAUUUAAUUGGGCCUGGCUUACAGGCUCGGAGGUUCAGUCCACUAUCACCAAGGUGGGAACAUGGUAGCAUCCAGGCAGGCAUGGUGCAGGAGGAGCCGAGAGUUCUCCAUCUUCAUCUGAAGGCUGCUAGCAGAAGACUGGCUUCCAGGCAGCUAGAAUGAGGACCAGUGUCUCCUACUCUGGAUAGUGUCAGUUCAAUCAUGGUUAAUCUCCUGUCCCUCAUGACGAUGCGACUUCACUUUACGACAUACUUAAGAAUAUAGGAUAAGGGCUGGAGAGAUGGCUCAGCGGUUAAGAGCACUGACUUCUCUUCCAGAGGUCAUGAGUUCAAUUCCCAGCAACCACAUGGUGGCUCACAACCAUCUGUAAUAGGAUCCAGUGCCCUCUUCUGGUGUGUCUGAAAACAGUGAUGGUGUACUCAAAUACAUAAAAUGAAUAAAUAAAUCAUAAGAUAUAUUUAUAGGACCUCAAAACACAAAAUCAAAAUAAAAACCCUCGGGGCCAUGAGAGUGAACUUUUAUUGUUUAAUUAAAUUACUCUGGUGCUGAGAUGCCUUCUCAAUAUUUACAUUUAUAUUCAUCCUGACUGAUGCUGCUCACAGCCUUUAGAGACACCAUCUUUGUACCUGUGUGUGUACCACGUGUGUAUGUGCACCACAGCAUAUGGGUGAAAGUCAGGGGACCACCUGUGGCAGCCACUUCCACCAUGUGGACCCAAGGGGUAGAACUCAAGACAUCAGGUUUAACAGCAAGAAUCUGACCUGCUGAGCCAUCUCCUCACCUUAUUAUUAUUAUUAUUUAAUUAAUUAAAAGCAAAUUGGACACUAAAUG
ensembl:processed_transcript